AACCCUUGUGGAGGAGGACGCCGAAGGUGGGGCUAAUGACUGGGGUGAAGUCGUAACAAGGUAGCCGUACCGGAAGGUGCGGCUGGAUCACCUCCUAACAGGGAGACAACAAAAUGUUUAAUAUUAUUAUUUUGUCACCUUAGGUCGAUCGGUAUCUCACAUUCUUAAUUUUUAAGGAUUUUAUUUCCUAAGUUUUUUCUAGGUCACACCCAUUACUUUUCCUGGGCCAUUAGCUCAGGUGGUUAGAGCGCACCCCUGAUAAGGGUGAGGUCCCUGGUUCAAGUCCAGGAUGGCCCAUAUCUCUAUGUUGGGGGUAUAGCUCAGUUGGUAGAGCGCCUGCUUUGCAAGCAGGAUGUCAGCGGUUCGAGUCCGCUUACCUCCACUGAUUACCACCUCUUCCAUAAUUUUUAUUAAGGAAAUGUUUUGAGUAGUGAUCAAAUUCUGAACGAAUCUAGCUUCCUAAUGAACUCAUUAAGAUGCUGGACUCAUUGAAUUAUUUUCAUUGUUUUCAGAGAACCUUGACAACUGCAUAGAUUAUUUUAAAGACAAUAAGCAUCUUUAUGAUGCAGAUUUAUUAUUUGUGCGAAUGCAUUAAUAACAAUUCUAUUAAGCUGAUGCUUCAAUUAUGAAGUUAUUGGUCAAGCUACAAAGGGCUCACGGAGGAUACCUAGGCACACAGAGGCGA
rnacentral:misc_RNA from 1 species